AUCCUUGCCUGGGCUCCCAGGCUGAGCCGGAGGACCCCGGGGGUUCACCUAGCCCUCUGGGAUAAGGGGCUUUAGUCUCUAUAUUCUUUGGGCUUGGGGGUUGGGGACAGUGGGAGGAUUAAUUAUGGAGGCAAGGUCAGAGGAAAAGGGAAAAAUGGGAAAGAUUUUAUUUAAAGCCCCUGGUCAUUCUUGCCUUUCCGCCCGCCCACCACGACCCCUCAAGCCAGAUGCCGUCUCUAGUUCGGGAGCGUUGGAUGAGGAUGCCAGGCACUCUGCUUUUCCUAAACAACUUCCAAGAACCCCGGAACAUUUCUUAAAGUGUCUGGAACGAAGCUUUAACCUCGCCUGCUCCAUCAGCCUGGGACGGAAAAGACGCGAGGGGCGAAGAAGAGGUGGGGCACGGGGAGCCCGGGCCGUUCGGCUUAGGUCUACAAGCCAGGUUCAAGGCCACCAACUGAGGCACCUGUCCCGAGACAGGACCAUUCUAAUCUGCCCUGAAAAGGACAUCCCAUUGAUCAUGUAAGUAUGUACUGAGAAUCUACUGUGGGCAAGACAUUGGUCUUCGCUGUGGGAGAUACAAAAACCAUUCAGGCAUGGCCCUUGCCUUUUUCAUGCCAAGAAAAGCUGAAGUGUGUGGUCAGAAAUUGCAUGUGGUUUCUGGGACUUACUGCCCUGAAGCACCCUGGGUGUAUCGGAUGGCCUCAGGGAACACAGUUUGGGUAUGGGCAGUAUUUUCAUGCCCAUUGCCAUUCCCUUCUGCCUCAAGUGUAUGUGGGCUUUCCCUGCAGUCAGCCAGCAGGCCAGGCCAGGGUGGCUUUGUUUCUGUCUCUGACCCUUUCUCUUCAGACUCCAAAUCUGCAGGUGCUGGAGACUUUGAAGGAGUCUCCGUUUCCCUUGGUAGAAACAAGAGGUAGGAACAAGCAGGUGGAAAGCCAGGGUUACUCCUUCCAGCCAAUGGGUCUGGGGCUGCAGCACACAAAGUUGACAUCCCGAAAGGCCAUUUUCCUCGAUCGCUUCAGACCUGGCAUUGGGUGGACAGACCACAUGAUUCAGCAUCCAAAUUGGAGAUCUCUCAAUAACAGAAAGAGGUGCCAUUGAUAAUUUCGUGGAACUUUCCUGAGCACACCAGGGUGUGCUCAUUCUUCCUGAGGGGUCAUCUCCCUUGGGCAUCGUAAGAGGCACCACUGAGACACAACAGCUUUUGUCACCAUUUCCCAAUUGUGUCCCAAGCUCUCUGUCCUCUUCCCUGUGCUGGUCAUCUCACAGUCUUCUUCUGCAGGUAGAUCCCCCCUACUUCAGCCCUUCCUCCCACCUCAGCUCCUUUGUUCCCGCUGCCAUGCCCAGAACAACCUAUAUUUCCACUCUCCAACCUUGGAUCAACCCAACUGUGUUUUCACGCUACUAUGUCCAGGAUACUGGAUGAUACUAGAGAUAGCCAUCAGUAACAUUCAUUACAUGAAUAAGUCUGGGUUGAUCCUGUGACACAGUUAUGCCUUCUACCCUCUGCUGCUUCUCAACAUUGCUCAGUCCUUAUGUUGGUGUUCUCAUUUCACAUGAUAGAGUUCCAAACCUUUUGUAGCCCGAAUCGUCAUCUAUCCCCUAAUUCUUGGAAAAGACCCUAACUUCACCAAUAGCAACAACAAUCAAAACCAACUGAACAAACAAAAAAAUACUUAAGAUACGAACCUCUCAGAUUUUCUGAACUCUCCACCUCCAGACUAAAUUUGUGGAUGGAUACCUAUCUGUUGACCAGACCCUCCCUCUUCAAUGAAAACUGCCUCUCCUUCCACUCCAUCUGUGAGGCACCCUUGGAUGCUGACAUGUGCUUACAUAGGACUUCCUGUCCACAGCCAGAAUUAGCCAGAAUUCACUGACCCAUGGUUGGACUCCUAAAAUACUCAAGAUGAGAGACAUGUUACUUUUCUUUACUAUAGUAACUAUCAAAUGCAUCCCAUAACCUUAUGUUGUAAAUGUCAAAUAUGCACAAUAAAAUUUAUUUGAAAAAAUAAAGCUGGAAAAUUGAAAGUAAUGAAUGUUCAGUUAAAAUCUGCAAACAAGCUAAUAAAUAAAUACUCAAGAUGGCCCAGUGACAGCCUUUCUCUAGAGUUUUUGAUUUGAGGCCAAGAAGGUUAGUGCAGCCUUUCUCCCAUGGCUGUCACUGUGAAGAUAAACAUUUGGGAAUUGAUGGCAGCCUUGUUUCUCCACCAGGCUGAAGAAACUAGGACCUGCGGGGGCUGAGACUGGAGUGAAACAGAUGUGAAGAGAAAAGUCCUGGGUCCAGGUGGUCCUGGGGCCCAGCCAUGCUCUUGUUUUUUUUUUUUUGUUUGUUUUUUGUUUGUUUGUUUGUUUGUUUUGUUUUAAUAGAUUUAAAUUGGUUCCUGCCAGGUACAGUCAAAGGCCUUUUUACCUGCUUCUCAGAGAAUUUCCCUCCGCCUGCCUGUGGCUAAUUCCUUCUCCUGCACCCUUGGUUCAGCCUCACCUGGCGACCCUUGUUCCAUCACUUCCACCACUUCUCUAGAAUCUUCAGUCAUUUCAGCAAUACAUAUGUUCAUCUUCCUGCCCAAAAACUGAAUAAGCAAAGACUUUCUUUCAUCUCUGACCCUCUUCAACUUCUGCCCUUCCCUUCUACUCACUAUCUCUAUUUUCUCACCUCCUACUUAAUGCCCAAUCUGCUGCUGCUAUCUUGCUCCAUUUCUUCUUCCCAUUUUCCUGAGGCUACUCUCUUGACAGGGAGUGCAUUGCAGAAUAUGUCCAAUUUCUUGUGUUUAUGUUACUUGUCUGCAGCAUCUGGCAUCAGUAACCACCUCCUCUUUCUCAAAACUCCCACUGCACUUGAUGGUUUUCCUGCUGGUUCUUGACCUGAUGCAGAAAAGCUUGACCUGCAGAAGCUGUACUAGAAGCAAUCAGGAUCUAAAGCUCUAGACUUUUCCAACCUGCCUCUCAUUGCCAUAAAAAUGCAACUGGCCUGUGUCUCCUCUCCUGGUGCACUGCUAAGGGAGGGCUGACUGAUCUAAUGAGAUUACUGGAGCUAAGGCAUUCACAGGUGAGUUAUUUUGAUAUUUUAAUAACAGCUCUCAAGACUUAGCUCAGUAUCUCUCAAAGUUGGAUUACAGUGGAAGGGAGUGGUGGGGAGCCGGUAUAGGAUGGAAGAAAGGGUUGAGAAUAUAUUGUUGAGAGUCUAAGAGUUUUUGAGACAUUUAAUUUUUGUAUUUUCACUUUAAUGUUAAUCAGUGCUUGAUCAUGCAUUUUAAUUUGCCAUUCCACUGGCACCCAAGUAAUCACCAACUUUUGGUGCAAUAUUUCAAAACUGGGGUGUAAUCUCAAAGAUUCAGAUAAUUUUUUUCUUCUAACAUGAAUUGCUUUGUUCCUCAAAUUGGGAAGUACUAACUUAAGUACUUAAGGCAUUGUAGGAAUGCGAGUGUUGUCUAUGUAUCUGGCAGCAUCAAGAGGAGAGACACAGAAAUGUAAGACCUAAGUCCUGCCUUCAAAAACCCACAUGCUCAUUGGAAAAACAACACAGAAACACUUAAAAAAUGAAAUUCAAGCAUGAAGUAACAGCGUGAGGUAUGUCACAAAGUGGUAUGUUAUUAUUUUUUUUUAUGAGGUGGAAUCUCACACUGUCACUCAGGCUGGAGUGCAAUGGCAUGAUCUCGGUUCACUGCAACCUCCACCUCCCAGGUUCAAGUGAUUCUCCUGCCUCAGCCUCCUGAGUAGCUGGGAUUACAGGCGCCCACCACCAUGCCCAGCUAAUUUUUGUAUUUUUUUAUUAGAGACGGGGUUUCACCAUCUUGGUCAGGCUGGUCUCGAACUCCUGAC
rnacentral:lncRNA from 1 species